rnacentral:misc_RNA from 1 species
GGGCAAAUGGACCACAAAUCCUAAAACAUACCAGCAUGAUUGAUUCCAUUAAUAUCAAAAUUCCCUGGUCCCACUAGGUAAAAAAGAAAGAAUAUGGACAGAAGUAUGUCUAUAAUUCAAGAAAAUUGACAAGGAAACACACUCUGUCCUGGUAUCAAGUAGAUUCAGAAAGUGGACAGUCUCCUUUGCUUUUCUGUCACAAAAGCUUUAGCCAUCACUACGGUUAAAU